CUUCUGAUACACUGAGAAUAUUUUUCUACCGUUAAGAAAACAGUUAAGUCAGUAUGAUUCUUCUAUCUCUGAGCAUUUAUUUGAACAGUUUUCUGCUUUCAGGAUCUUCUCUUAGUGAUCAAGUCCAUCAGACUCCAGCUGAUCUGCACUGCAGCCCUGGAGGAACAGCCUUCAUCAAUUGUUCACACACCAUUGAAAACUAUAAUAAUAUCCUCUGGUACAAACAGUCAAACAGCCAGAUAGAAUUACUGGGAUACAUGAAUAUAAUUUAUGAAAAUUUAGAGGAAGGUGUGAAUGUGACGAUAGAUGGAGAUGCAAACAAAGACAAGAUCUGCACUUUAAUAGUAAAAGAACUGAGUCUGAGCAGCAGUGGAGUUUAUUUCUGUGCUGCUAGAUACCACAGUGCUUCAUAUCUCUGCUCCUCAGUACAAAACUUCCUCAUCACUGUUCUUCAUCUCCAACAGCUCAGUGCACCUGUUUGACGUGCUUUGAAAAGAUGAAUUAGUACAUGACAAAUCUAAUAAAGAGAUUUGGUUUCUGCUGUGACCACACCCACUUACAGAGCACAUGUUCAUUUUCCUGACAGGAGGCUUUAAGAACAAGACAGAUCAGAUCAUCUGCUGACACACUGAGAAUAUGCUGCACAGUCACAGAGAAAUUAUCACUGAACAAAACAACAAGAACAGCAUGAACUUCAUACUAUUAAUAUUUGCUUUCAACACUGUGCUGGUUUCAGGAUCCUCUCUCAGUGACCUCGUCCACCAGACACCUCAACAUAUUCAUGCAAACCUAGCAGGAAAAGCUAAAAUCACCUGUUCUCACAGUAUCCAGAGCUACAACGUUAUCCUCUGGUAUAAACAAUCAGAAAACAGACAGCUACAACUCCUGGGAUACAUGUAUUUAACCAACAACAAUACUGAAGGUGGAGUGAACGUGGAGAUGGAGGGAAAUGCAGAUAAAGGCCAGAACUGCACUUUAACUGUUAAAGACCUCAGUCUGAACAGCAGUGCAGUGUACUUCUGUGCAGCCAGUUAC